UGAACAUGUCAUCUAAUGCGCAGACCUGCCGAGAGCUGCCCUCCUCACCUCUGAAUGUGUAUCUCUUCCUCCAGCCUUCAGAUUUCGAACAUUUCCAUUCCAUAGUCAACCCUCUACCCUCCUUUCAACUGGGAAACAAAACAAACACACAAACCCUGACUGUCUUUGACCAACAAGCUAAGGUGAAGGAGGUGCUCAGCUCCUGCAGGUUGCAGAGAACUAGAGACACCCAGAUCAGCACCGGGGAUGGGCUUUUUGUAAGGCCACAGAGGGGAGAAGGGAAAACAGCAAAUGGCAUCUGCAGGCCUGGGGGAGAACUGGACUGCCAUUCAGGAUGAAACAGCCGUGGGACAGUGUGGCCUGGCAGAGAGGAGGAAACUGUUGUCAACAAGCACAGGAGAAGAUGGCAGGAGCCCUUCGAAUUCCGCCGCCCUUCCGGGACCUGACCAGCAGCCCUAACACCACAUCAGCUCCAAACAAACACUGCUCCACUUUCUCUGCUUCUUCUUUCUGUUCCAGUACCACAGCUUCUAAAGCUGGCAGAGUUUGAACUGAGAGACUGUUCAAGGAGACGUUCCAUGCUGAGCACAAUGAAGAGAAAGGGUAUCUUCCUUAAGCAGAGAGAUAACGAGAAAGAAUGUUCUCAGUUACAACUGGGAUAUUUGGGCCCGAGGCAACACUAUGGACAACGUUGUACCAAACCAGGAGCGAUGGAUCAACACAGCAGCAACCUCUUGCUUAGUGAGCACUGUCCUCCUUGGGGCGCUGGAUGGAGUUGGGGUCUGGGAGCCACUAACACCUCUUGACGGAUGAUGGCGAGAAGAGAAGUUCCAAAAGAGUGGGGUGGCUGGUGUGGGGGCGCUGUGAAGAGUAACGGGACAGAGGUUUUGCCUC